rnacentral:miRNA from 1 species
GAGAGAUAAUAAAAAGAAAAAAUGCCUUGGAGUAUUAGAGAGGAUAGAAGGCAUAAAGCCGUUCCUUUCAAGAUAUACCUCUGGGGGUAUCUUGAAAGGAACGGCUUUAUGCCUUCUAUCCUCUCUAAUACUCCGAGGCAUUUUUUCUUUUCUUUUCUAU